AGGACGAACGCUGGCGGCGUGCCUAACACAUGCAAGUCGAACGGAGAUGUUGAUUUCGGUUGACGUCUUAGUGGCGAACGGGUGAGUAACGCGUGAACAAUCUGACCUUAAGAGGGGGAUAACAACGAGAAAUCGUUGCUAAUACCGCAUAAGACCACAAUGCCGCAUGGCGAAGGGGUCAAAGGAGCAAUCCGCUUAAGGAGGGGUUCGCGUCCCAUUAGGUAGUAGGUGAGGUAACGGCUCACCUAGCCGACGAUGGGUAGCCGAGCUGAGAGGCUGAUCGGCCACACUGGAACUGAGACACGGUCCAGACUCCUACGGGAGGCAGCAGUGGGGAAUAUUGGGCAAUGGGCGCAAGCCUGACCCAGCAACGCCGCGUGAGGGAAGAAGGUUUUCGGAUUGUAAACCUCUGUCGCAGAUGACGAAACAAAUGACGGUGAUCUGUGAGGAAGCCCCGGCUAACUACGUG
rnacentral:rRNA from 1 species